UCAAUGCACUGAGAUGAAUAACAUGAAUUAUGUUGAGCUAAUGCAGUAGAAAAGGACAUGAGUAACAGACUAAAACGACAUUGUUAAAAAUCGACGAGGCUUUGGCGAAGAGCUUGAACGGAAAGGAAUACAAAAAUACAAAUGAGCUAAUUGACGAGAUUUUAGAAGCUGAAUUGUAUGAACGACCAAGAUAUUUACAAGCAUGUACCAAGAAGGAAUAUACACACUCUUACAGGGAACCUUUAAAUGCACCAAAAUUUCCUUAUAAAUCAAGUGAUACCAAAUUCACCGUUUUGUCGAAGAGAUGGGAAAAGUUGGAGUCGGUGAAAAGAGAAUAUCUGCAGAAUAUAGAAAAUAUUACGAUGGGUCUAUGUUACAAGUGUAAAAUAGAAAAAAAAAGUCGUAUUAUCGAAGCAGCAAAUAGCUUACUAGGCAAAUAAACAAAGCAAAUGGCCUGUUGUUUUCAAAUAAAUUGUUUGUUUUAAAUUGACCAAUCAAAGCCAAUAAAAGCCAAAGCUACAUGUU